rnacentral:miRNA from 1 species
CCUGACAUGUCAGUAGAAAGCUC